rnacentral:sRNA from 1 species
UUUAGAAAAUUUACUAUGCGCUAAAAUUUAUUGGAAUCAGAACACACGGCAUAAAAUAUAUAACCAAAUAUAUAGUCUUAGAAAUGGUACGAUGAUAGAUUUUGUGCA